ACAUUAAAUGAAAUUGUAAUGGACAGUGUAUCACAAGAUUUUUGCCAGUCUUAAACGUUCUAAAAUUUCAGGCGUUUUUU
rnacentral:sRNA from 1 species